UACGUAGGGGGCAAGCGUUGUCCGGAAUCAUUGGGCGUAAAGGGCGCGUAGGCGGCCCUGUAAGUCCGCUGUGAAAGUCAAGGGCUCAACCCUUGAAUGCCGGUGGAUACUGCAGGGCUAGAGUCCGGAAGAGGCGAGUGGAAUUCCUGGUGUAGCGGUGAAAUGCGCAGAUAUCAGGAGGAACACCAAUAGCGAAGGCAGCUCGCUGGGACGGUACUGACGCUGAGGCGCGAAAGCGUGGGGAGCGAACAGG
rnacentral:rRNA from 1 species